CACUGAGACACGGCCCACACACCUACGGGUGGCAGCAGUUGGGAAUCUUGCACAAUGGGGGAAACCCUGAUGCAGCGACGCCGCGUGGAGGAUGAAGGGUCUAGGCCUGUAAACUCCUUUUAUCGGGAAAGACUUAGGACGGUACCCGAUGAAUAAGGACCGGCUAACUACGUGCCAGCAGCCGCGGUAAGACGUAGGGUCCAAGCGUUGUCCGGAUUUACUGGGCGUAAAGAGCGCGUAGGCGGUCUGUUAAGUGUGAAGUGAAAUCUCGGGGCUCAACCCCGAAACUGCUUUACAUACUGGCAGACUGGAGGGAUGCAGAGGUUUGUGGAAUUCCUGGUGUAGCGGUGAAAUGCAUUGAUAUCAGGAGGAACACCCAUGGCGAAGGCAGCAAACUGGGCAUCAUCUGACGCUGAGGCGCGAAAGCGUGGGUAGCAAACAGGAUUAGAUACCCUGGUAGUCCACGCCCUAAACGAUGGAUACUAGGCGUAAGAGGUAUCGACCCCUCUUGUGCCGCAGCUAACGCAUUAAGUAUCCCGCCUGGGGAGUACGGCCGCAAGGUUGAAACUCAAAUGAAUUGACGGGGACCCGCACAAGCGGUGGAGCAUGUGGAUUAAUUCGAUACUAACCGAAGAACCUUACCCAGACUUGACAUCGAUCGUAAGCCUUAGAAAUAGGGCCCUCUCUCACAAGGAGACGUGAAGACACUUGUUGCAUGGCUGUCGUCAGCUCGUGCCGUGAGGUGUUAGGUUAAGUCCUUCAACGAGCGCAACCCUCGUCCUGUGUUACCAGCAUGAAAGAUGGGGACUCACAGGAGACCGCCGGUGUAAGCCGGAGGAAGGUGGGGAUGACGUCAAGUCAGCAUGGCAGUUACGUCUGGGGCUUCACACAUGCUACAAUGGACGAAACAAAGGGCUGCGAUACCGCGAGGUGGAGCCAAUCCCAAAAAUACGUCCUCAGUUCAGAUUGCAGUCUGCAACUCGACUGCAUGAAGUCGGAAUCGCUAGUAAACGCAGGUCAGCUAUACUGCGUUGAAUACGUUCCCGGGUCUUGUACACACCGCCCGUCAAGUCACCUGAAUUGUCUUCACCCGAAGUCCGUGGCCUAACCGUAAGGAAGGAGCGGCCGAAGGUGAGGGGGGUAAGGGGGACUAAGUCGAAACAAGGUACCCGUACCGGGGGGUGUGGGUG
rnacentral:rRNA from 1 species